GGAGGCCAAGCGAUACUGCGUGACUUGAGGCCGGAAGAGGGGAGUGGAUUCCCGGUGUAGCGGUAAAAUGCGCAGGUAUCGGGAGGAACACCAGUGGCGAAGGCGGCUCCCUGGACCGCACCUGACGCUCAGAGGCGAAAGCUAGGGGAGCGAACAGGAUUAGAGACCCUGGUAGUCCUAGCCCUAAACGCUGGAUGCUAGGUGUAGGGCUGAUGAGGCUCUGUGCCGGAGCGAACGCGAUAAGCAUCCCGCCUGGGAACUACGGCCGCAAGGCUAAAACUCAAACGAAUUGACGGGGACCCGCACAAGCAGCGGAGCGUGUGGUUUAAUUCGAUGCUACACGAAGAACCUUACCUGGGUUUGACAUGUUGGUGGUACCGAACCGAAAGGGGAGGGACCCUUCGGGGAGCCAACACAGGUGCUGCAUGGCUGUCGUCAGCUCGUGCCGUGAGGUGUCGGGUUAAGUCCCGUAACGAGCGCAACCCUUGCUCUUAGUUAUACGUGUCUAAGGGGACUGCCGGCGACAAGCCGGAGGAAGGUGGGGAUGACGUCAAGUCAGCAUGGCCUUGAUAUCCAGGGCUACACACACGCUACAAUGGCCGGUACAAAGGGCAGCCAAGCCGCGAGGUGGAGCGAAUCCCAGCAAAGCCGGUCCCAGUUCGGAUUGCAGGCUGCAACCCGCCUGCAUGAAGUUGGAGUUGCUAGUAACCGCGCGUCAGCCAUAGUGCGGUGAAUACGUACCCGGGUCUUGUACACACCGCCCGUCACGUCAUGGGAGUUGGCAACGCCUGACAGCGGUAACCUAACCGAAAGGAAGGCGCCGACUAAGGCGGGGC
rnacentral:rRNA from 1 species